rnacentral:ncRNA from 1 species
CCAGUCGGCUCCUCGUACGGGGUCCGUCCAGCCGCCCCGGCGGCCGGAUGCAUGGACCCGCGAUGACCCGACGGGGUCUUGAGGAGUCCGCACAUG